GCCUCCCAAAGUACUGGGAUUACAGGCAUGAGCCACCACACCUGGCCCCUACAAGACUUAAAAAAAAAAUUGGCCCCAUAAAUCUUGUUUAACCCAGUUAAUAUGCUCAUUUCUGCUGAUUUACAGAAUAUUCGAAAUCAGAUUGGAAGAGUGGGGUGAAAAGGAAGACUUACUGAUUGCCCCUGCAAAUGAAAUAAUUCCAUCCUAAAGCCCUCUGGGUAGGUGUUAAGGGGAGUUGCAUUCUCACUCUUCACACUUCCAUUGACUUAGGGCAGGGCUGUUAGUAAGACCAUUUGGCUAUAGAAUUAAGUCACGUUGCCAGCUUCCUUUUGCAGCAAUAAAGCUGAUGAUCCAAUUGCCAUCCCUCUCAUGGAACUGUUCGGAGCUCAGGAAUGAAAGAACAGUUUGUAUUGGCUCCCUGAAAUCCGAAGAGUACUUGUCCUUAAAUUAGAAAAACUGCCAUGAGAAGAACAGCAGUCUCAUGAUUAUAAAGAAAGAAAAAACAACACAUGGCGUCACUCACUCAUCCUUCACAAAGAUGGAACAGUAUAUAGAUGUACCCAAUUGUUAUUCUUAGAAAUUGUCUUUAAAUCUCCAUCUAGAACAAUUUGGAGUAUUUUUCACGGAAUGUAGUACAGUUUACUUCCUCUCACAAAGCCGUAACUAUCCAUCACUGAAUGCUUUUCUCCUCAAUUUUUUCUCCAUGUUUUUACAAGACUUCUAUAUAUCCAUUCUGAACCCUGAAAGUUAAGUAAUUUCUUGGUUUGUCCACAGUCCCCAAGACUUCUAAACCAUCUGAGUCAAAUCCCAUUUACUUCAUCAUGCAGAUGGCUAUUCUCUUGUAAAUUCUCUGAAAGUCACAAGUUAAAUCAAGGAGUGACCAAACACUUUACAGAAUUUUCUUGUAUUAUAGAACAGAGAAAUACCAGGAAGAAAAAAAUAUAUAUUCCCUAUUUAAUUGCUGCUCCUGGAUUUCAUACAUUCUGUCUCACAGGAACAGAAACUAGAGCAAUUAUUGUCACUAAGUGCUAAGCACAGUAUCUAAUAUACAAUAUAUGUCCAUUAAACACCUAAACGAACAAAUGACUAAGGAAUAUAAAACAUCUCCCUAGCAGUCACACAAACUCUCCUUUUCCAAUCACAGCAAUUUUUCUGAGCCAUUGUGAUGGUGGUAAUGACUGCUCUUCAACAGAUCUCACUCGUUAUCAGGUACUUUCCUUGUUAUCUGUUAAAUUCCUGGCAAUUUUUUACUCAGUGAUCAACUCAACAAUAGCAAUUUUAAUACCUGGCCUUUAGACAUAGUUGCAAAACUCUUAGUCACCAUACGGUACUGUUUUCUAGAGGGUCUCUACUUUAACUGCUUGGGGGUGGGAGGGAAGAAACAUGCCAUGGUUUUUAAAGAGAUUUAUGUUUUUAUGAUAAAAUUCUCUUAAAUUGAGCAAGCUCUGGGCACUCCACUGAAUAAGGCAUAAUUUCAGUUAUACAAGAAAACAAAUAGUUUGAUUACCAAAAACUCCAUUUUCAAUAAUGACUUUGAAAAUAUAAUUCCAAGAAAACUGAGUCCUCAAUAUGAGACGUACAAAUGUGCUUCCGAAUUAAAAAAUGUGAUGGCAAAUGAUUAUAAAACUGUGAAAAACUAUAAAAAUAUAGUAAAGGUAAAUGUGCCAGAAAUGGAAAAAUUUUACCUGAGUAAGUCCCAAAUUAUAUUAUACGUCUAUAUAAGGGAGCACAGGUGCUGAGCAUGAAGCCCGACUGACCUAGCAGGCAUUCAAAACUACAUGUGUGAUGAAGAAAAUUUCAUUCUUUAACCAAAUAUACUAAAUUUCACUGAUCAGAAAUCCAUGAUGAUGUAUUUGGAUGGUUAAAUAAAUUCAUGCUCAGAUGGAAUAUGUGUUUUCAUAAUAUUAACCAUGAGAGUUUUGUAGAACAUCUGGAUUUUUGCCUAGAAUUUUUGGAUUUUAUUAGAAAACUACGUAAUGUGAGGACACCAUUUUCUGAAACUGUAAAUUCUUCUCUGGCCUUUUCACUCCUUCACAUUACCCCUUACAAAAUAUUAAUCUCAGGUUUAUGAAAGGAGUAUUUUUUUUUCAUAAAACUUAGUAACUUUCCUCUUUU